rnacentral:hammerhead_ribozyme from 1 species
AUGUAGCUGAUGAGUCUUAAAUAGGACGAAAUGCGCAUCUUAGUU